rnacentral:rRNA from 1 species
AACCUGCGGAAGGAUCAUUAUUGAAUUAAUGUAGAGUUUGGUUGUAGCUGGCUCCUAAUUAAACUUGGGGGCAUGUGCACACCUUUCUCUUUCAUCCCAUACACACCUGUGCACCUGUGAGACAGAUGUUUUGUGGGGGGGAAGGAACUUUAUUGGACCUUCUACUCCCCCUUGACUUCUGUCUACUUAAUUCAUAUAAACUCAAUUUAUUUUAAAACGGAUGUAAUGGAUGUAACACAUCUAAUACUAAGUUUCAACAACGGAUCUCUUGGCUCUCGCAUCGAUGAAGAACGCAGCGAAAUGCGAUAAGUAAUGUGAAUUGCAGAAUUCAGUGAAUCAUCGAAUCUUUGAACGCACCUUGCGCUCCUUGGUAUUCCUUGGAGCAUGCCUGUUUGAGUAUCAUGAAAUCUUCAAAGUCAAACCUUUUGUUAAUUCAAUUGGUUCUGCUUUGGUAUUGGAGGAUUAUUGCAGCUUCACACCUGCUCCUCUUUGUGCAUUAGCUGGAUCUCAGUGUUAUGCUUGGUUCCACUCAGCGUGAUAAGUUAUCUAUCGCUGAGGACACCCUGUUAAAAAGGGGUGGCCAAGGUAAAUGCAGAUGAACCGCUUCUAAUAGUCCAUUGACUUGGACAAUAUCUAAUUUAUGAUCUGAUCUCAAAUCAGGUAGGACUACCCG